UUCUGGAGAAACUGUGAUUACUGCUCUUGUGUGCAAAUGCCCUCAAAUGUGUCAACUGUCACAGAUCAAAGGCUUGUAACCAGCCCAGGGAUGAGAACUGCAGGACCACCAGGUAAAGAAAUCAAUAGAGAGUGAAAACACAGCCCUACAAGAUGUAUUUCAGUAACUGUCAGGCACAAUAUAACAACUGAAAACUGCUACUCGCAUCCAUCUGGCGUGUACAGAAGCAUCUUCCCAAACGUAUCUCGACUGCCACAUUUUUUUCAGGGGAAGAAAAAAAUAAAAUGUAGGCAAAGUGCAGAAAAAGGUGAAGAAGUCGAGAUGAGGAACUUGGUGGUUGGUGAACUCUACAAACCAGGUGAAUGCCACAAGCGUUCUUGGUCUGAGUCGCUUGGAGCUCCUCCAAGAGGCACAGUCAAAAGUCAGGCUGGUAUUGCAGUCUUCGUUUGGCCUUGUUAUCGGUAUGCAUUCAUAUGUAUCAUCAUUUCAACACAUGUUUAAUGGUCGGCUCUCUUCACCAUUCAUGGUACAUGGGAAAAGUCAUGCUCCUGGAAUUAAUUAAAGCUAUUUAGUGAAUGAA